rnacentral:rRNA from 1 species
AAUACUUAGUGGCAGACGGGUGAGUAACAUGUGGGUAUCUACCCUUUGGCCUGGAAUAACACGAGGAAACUUGUGCUAAUACCGGAUAAGUCUUUACGGAGAAAGCUUUAUGCACCAUUGGAUGAGCCCGCACUUGAUUAGUUUGUUGGUAGGGUAAUGGCCUACCAAGACUAUGAUCAAUAGCUGAUUUGAGAGGAUGAUCAGCCACAUUGGGACUGAGACACGGCCCAAACUCCUACGGGAGGCAGCAGUGGGGAAUCUUGCACAAUGGAGGAAACUCUGAUGCAGCGAUGCCGCGUGAAUGAAGAAGGCCUUUGGGUUGUAAAGCUCUUUCGUCGGGGAAGAAAAUGACUGUACCCGAAUAAGAAGGUCCGGCUAACUUCGCGCCAGCAGCCGCGGUAAUACGAAGGGACCUAGCGUAGUUCGGAAUUACUGGGCUUAAAGAGUUCGUAGGUGGUUGAAAAAGUUGGUGGUGAAAUCCCAGAGCUUAACUCUGGAACUGCCAUCAAAACUUUUCAGC